UAAUACGGAGGGUGCAAGCGUUAUCCGGAUUCACUGGGUUUAAAGGGUGCGUAGGUGGGUUUGUAAGUCAGUGGUGAAAUCUCCAGGCUUAACCUGGAAACUGCCAUUGAUACUAUAGAUCUUGAAUUAUCUGGAGGUCAGCGGAAUAUGUCAUGUAGCGGUGAAAUGCUUAGAUAUGACAUAGAACACCAAUUGCGAAGGCAGCUGGCUACAGGUUGAUUGACACUGAGGCACGAAAGCGUGGGGAUCAAACAGG
rnacentral:rRNA from 1 species